CGUGUAGGCGGACUCGCAAGUCGGUUGUGAAAUCCCUGGGCUUAACCUAGGAACUGCAUCCGAAACUGCUUGUCUUGAGUAAUGGAGAGGGUGGCGGAAUUCCCGGUGUAGAGGUGAAAUUCGUAGAUAUCGGGAGGAACAUCAGUGGCGAAGGCGGCCACCUGGACAUUUACUGACGCUGAGACGCGAAAGCGUGGGGAGCAAACAGGAUUAGAUACCCUGGUAGUC
rnacentral:rRNA from 1 species